GUACUCACUUCGGCAGCACAUGUACAAAAAUUGGAACAAUAUAGAGAAGAUUACCAUGGCCCCUGUGCAAGGAUGACGCGCAAAAAUUCACAAAGAAUUCCAAAUUUUA
rnacentral:snRNA from 1 species